rnacentral:tRNA from 1 species
AGAAAAGUAAACUAAAUAAGUUAGUAGGUUCAUACCCUAAAUAUAGAAAAUAAAUUCUCUUUUCUA